rnacentral:tRNA from 1 species
GCAAUUGUAGCUCAGUGGCAGAGCGCUUGCCUAGCAUGUAUGAGGCACUGUGUUCUAUCCUCAGCACCA